CCCGGUACCCAAUCCUAUACUGCCAACGUAAUCAAGGGCUCCCUCGCAGCUUGCACAAUCAUCCUCACAAUAUUUAUUUACACUCGUAUUUUUAAGCGCCUAAUACAGUCCACGACAGAAAAUGGCAACCAGCACCACCAAUCCUGCUUGGGGGGGAUGGGCUUGACUUUCAGAGAUUGCCUGGUGUGGUCAAAACUUAAGUGGGCUACUCUCAGGGUCACGUCCCUGAUCCCACUUACAAGCUGGUAUGCACCAACACCACCAACCACGUUGAAGUUGUUCUUGUCCAAUUUGACCCGGAAGUUUGCCCAUAUACCGACAUCCUCUCUCUUUUCUGGGUGGUGAUGUUGGUACACAGUGUAGAUCAGGGAUUUACUACUACAAUGAGGCCCAAGCUAAGUUAGCCCAGGAAUCAAAGGAAGCUAAGCAGUUGGAAUUGAAGGAUAGCAAGGUUGUGACAGAAAUUCUGCCAGCAAAGAGAUUUUACAGAGCUGAAGAGUACCAUCAGCAGUAUCUGGCGAAAUGUGGAGGUCAAGGUGUUAAACAGUCUGCUGAAAAAUGUUGCAAUGACCCUAUUAGAUGCUAUGGUUGAACCUUUUUCUUUUAUAUAUAUAAAAAACAUCCUUUUGAUGAAUAAUAUAAGAAUUACACUACUGGGGCUAUUUUGAAUGUGAAAAAUUCAUUUUGUUUCAAAUCGGAUUCCACAUUUCAAACUGGUCUUGAUAGUUUGGUUUCACUUUACUAGGUUGUCCUGUCCGCUUGCACCACGUAUCAAUAUGCUUAUUGUGUACUGUAUUCUAAAGACAUCCUAGUAACAAUGAACCUCCCUUUUUUU